rnacentral:rRNA from 1 species
CCUCGAUGGCGACCGGCGCACGGGUGAGUAACGCGUAUGCAACCUGCCCGAUACCGGGGUAUAGCCCAUGGAAACGUGGAUUAACACCCCAUAGUACUUUUAUCCUGCCUGGGAUGGGAGUUAAAUGUUCAAGGUAUCGGAUGGGCAUGCGUCCUAUUAGUUAGUUGGCGGGGUAACAGCCCACCAAGACGAUGAUAGGUAGGGGUUCUGAGAGGAAGGUCCCCCACAUUGGAACUGAGACACGGUCCAA